rnacentral:rRNA from 1 species
UACGUAGGGUGCAAGCGUUAAUCGGAAUACUGGGCGUAAAGCGUGCGCAGGCGGCUUUGCAAGACAGAUGUGAAAUCCCCGGGCUCAACCUGGGAACUGCAUUUGUGACUGCAUGGCUAGAGUACGGGUAGAGGGGGAUGGAAUUCCGCGUGUAGCAGUGAAAUGCGUAGAUAUGCGGAGGAACACCGAUGGCGAAGGCAAUCCCCUGGACCUGUACUGACGCUCAUGCGACGAA